GCCGGCACGGUACUGCCCGCUCCGCCCCACGAACACGGGGGGCGGAGAACCGGGCAAUGGGGGGGUAAGAACCGAGAAGUGUGCACCGAGGGAGAGUUUCGAGUGCCGGGCACGGGAAACCGUGCGUAGGGUGAGCUCCGUCCCUCUGACCGUCCACCUGCAUCCCCGUGGAGGAUAACGGCCCGCCAGGCUCGGGGCUUCCGCGGGGCGGAGGGGGGAACUCGCGGAACUACCUCACCCUCCGCGCGGCUGCCGCCGACCCCCGGAUCCAUCGCUCCCGCCCGUCCCCUCGGGCCACGGUUCGCCAUAGCCGCUGCGCUCUGCCGCUGCCCGCGGCUGUGCUCGCGGCGUCUCUCUCUCCCUGCUUCCCCCGAGGCGACACCGACGGUGCGGCCGCACUCACCUCUCUCGGCGGGGCCAAGACCGGGGCCGGGCGGGGGCCGCGGGCUCAGCCGGGCCGGCGGCGUGGCAGGAAGGACCGGGUGGUCAUCGCGGCCCGCGGCAGCUGCCUGCAGAGGGCACUGCUGGUUCCCGGAGCCGAGCCCCGUGGGCGGCACCGAUACGCGCAGGGACACGGCGUCUCUUGGUGCCGGUGGCACCGUUUAUUUAGGUUAAAAACAGCAGACACGACUCGGGCAAUCCGGGAUCCCCUCGGCUGCACUUGCUCGGGGCUCCCCCAUGCUGCCAGAACGCUUGAAGGACCCCCCGGGCCUGGGACCUAGCUUGGAUAUGCCUGAACCAAUCCCCACCCACGGGGGCUCACCUGCCCCCCCCCAUUCCACCUGCCUCACACCUAUCCAGAUGCUCUAACCUGCCUCACACCUAUCCAGAUGUUCUAACCUGCCCCACACUCCAGCUGUGCUCACCUGCCCCACCCCCCAGCCAUACCAGUUUACUCUUGUCUGCAGUGAUACCUAGGCCCACAGCUCCCUCCUUCUCCCCACUCCCUUCCCUCCUGUUCCCCCUGUGCCCACCGGCCCUGGCUGCCACCCCCCCAGGCCUGGCCUUGACAAUGGGGACUCCUGCCCCUGACAAUGGGGACUCCUGCCCCAUGCUUUGCUUUUUUAAUAAAAAUAGAUAAAUUAAUAUAAACUUAAACAUUAAAAUAAUAAAAUUAUUUAAAAUACA